rnacentral:lncRNA from 1 species
ACAAAAAACAGGGGCGGGGGGGAUUUUUAUUCACGGGGAGAAAAUUUUAGACGGGUGGAGAGAAUGAACAAGAGGGAAAACAACAGAAAAAACCCUAUCUUAAAACUAAUCCAGGGAGAGGCCGCCGCCUCCUGGUGAAAAGGAGAACCAGAGCUCCCUCACCCGAGGGAGAGUUUUGGGACUUUUGCUCCCACAAUCAUUCUUCCCCAGCUUACCAUCACAAGCCCUGAACCCAGCAUUUCCCGGCCAUCUCUCUUCCUUUUCCUCGGCCAGCACCAUAUUUUAGCCAAAGACAAACCAAACAGAGCCCCCUGGUUUUGAUUUUUCCAGCCGGCCGCAGGACUGACCUUCCCUUCUCCUUCCAGCCGACCGCAGGACUGACCUUCCCUUCUCCUUCCAGCCGACCUCCAACUUCAAAAGACCCAGCCAAGGACAGAACAACCCAUCUCCCCCUGCCUCAGCCGGAUUAGAGCAUCCGGCCAAAACCAAGGAGAAGCCGCCCCCCCAAACUGCAGAAAGAAAUAAAUCGGAGAGCACCUCCUCGUCUCUGCUCUCUAUCCAAGCCAGACAGCAGCGGUCCUUCCCUUCUCUGAGGCAAAGAAACCAGCGACCCUCUCUCGGCCACCGACUCCAGGCCACAUCCUUCCCUCAGCCGGCUCUCUCCCAAACAGCCACAGCUGGAACCGGGGAGCCAAAGGGAGGCCGCCGCUCCUAUUUUUUGCUGUCUUCUUCUUCGCCCGACAGACCCGAGUCCGGCUUUCUUCUUCCCCAGCCGCCUCUGUUUUUUUGGCCAAAACCUGAGUGAGCCAAAGUCACCGCCAACCACUGAAGCUGAGGAGAAGAAGAAGCUCUCCCAACCACCAAAUCCAUCAUCGGCAGAAGGAAAAUAAACAGAGAAGGGAGAAGGAGUUGGAACCGGCCAGAUCUAAAAAACAAAACCCAUUGCUGUUUGUGCGUUUUCUCUCUGUUGCAGGUGACAGAUUUCCUCACCGCAGGCAGGUGAAUUCACGCGCCGCCAGGGGCGGUGGCGCGUGGAGGAGACGCGCCGCCACUUGUCAUAGCCACAGAAGAUGCCCAGAAUUCUCCAGCACUGUUCCCGAAGCUAUUUUUGUAAUUUUUAAAUGUUGCUGUAUAUGUCUGGAUACUGUUGUGUUUUGAUUUACUUUUUUUUUUUUUUGUUAUUUUGUAAACAUGUAAUUAUGGGUGAGAAAAUAGUAAAAAGGGAUGUGUGUGUUUGUAUCUCUUUUUAUUUAUGUUAUUGAACUAUAAAAAUCAAAGAGACAGAAUUGAGUGUUUAAUUUGAAUAUGAUUAAAUAUCUCAAGGAUAAAUAAAAUCAAGUUGUAUUUUCUUGAAAAUGUAAGAACGUGUUUCUAUAUAUUUCAGGAUUUAAUAACUGACUUAUUAAAGUUUUAAAAUUUGAUUAAUAUUUCAAAUUUUCAAAUCAUAUCAAACCGCAAAGCAGGUUACCUCAGGUAGGGUGUGUUAGGGGUGCUAAUACUUUUCCUAAUCACAAGUAGUUCCUUGUCUUUGAAUCUUUGACAAUGACCAGUAAAUCCGGGUUUCCUGGUAACCCUCAAUGGAAUACUAGGUGACGACUUUCAAAGAACCAAUCAAGCAAAUUAACAAAAAAUCACCGAAUAGUCGCGCGGGUGACGUGCGACAAUAUCUAGAAUAAAACAUGAAAGAAUUAUGAAACUCUUUUUUUAAAAAAAAAAAAAAAGUCUAAUAACUUCCAAUAAAUAAAACAAUGUUUUCCCAUAAUGACUAAUGUGUAACUUAAGAGUUUUUUUAAAAAUAAUAAUGCUAAUUGGCAGGAAUUUUAUAAGUUUGAUGUGUGUCUGAGUGAUGAAAUUGCUAAUAUUUUAUCGAUAAUACAUACUCCAUGAUGAUACUAUAAUGUCAUCGCAAUCCAUUUUGUUCAAGAAAAAAAACCUUUAAUUAAUUUUAAAAGUAUAUCUCAUCAAAUUUAAAAGUUAUCACAAUCCAUUUUUAGUGUUUUAAAAGUAUUUAAAAAAAAAUAAGAAAUAAAAAUAUAUCUUAUCAAAUUUAAGAUAGACCCGCCAAAUUAUUAUUUUCUUUGGUUAUUUUUAUAAUUAUUUUUUAAUAUUACAAAUUAAAAUUUAUCUCAUUAAAUUAAUCCAUAACCAAUCUUUAAAAUCUUAUAAAAACCUUUAUAUCUCAAACAAAUACAAAGAAUUUCAAUCAGAAAAAAUAAGUUAAAUAAAACAAUAAAAUAAAAUAAAAACAGAACUUGACAUGAAUACGUUGAAUCUGCCACACUUUUUAGAGAGUGUUUUGUUUUUGUUGCUGCUUCCACAAAAACAAAUUGUUUGGUUAAUUACGAAACAUAAUUUACUGUUUGUGGAACCUAUUACAAUUUACGUUUAAAACGCAGGGUAACCGAAAGCAAGUUGAAGCUGCUUCUCCUUCUUUUGUCGUCUCAACUGUUCACAUGAAUAGUUGAGAGCGUCUCCACUGUUCAUGUCCGAACCGAGUCCAGCCCAAACCUAAAUGAAUUGGAUCGGGUCCGACCCAGUAAAAUAAAAAAAUCUAUUUUUUUAAUUGUGUUUUAUUCAAAAAACUAGUGUUUAACAUUAUUCAAUGGCACUACAUAAUUAAAUUAGAAGGAGAUCGCAUGAUGAUGUAACAUUUGGAGAAUUUGAUCGCAAUCCCAAUUUUGUUCCUGAUGAUAUUUUACCUGAUGUUGUUGCACGCUCAGGAAACCAUGGAAACUAUAGUCAUUCUCGGAUGGAUUUCGUACGUGAUGAAAUUGCAGAUAGUUUAAUGGAACAAUAAAAAAUACUUUUAUAUAAAAUAUUGUUUAUUUCAUAAUGUAAUAGCAGUAGUUAAAUCUAUAAUAUUUCAAUUAAAAACCAUCAAUAUUAAUAUAUGUCUUUUUUUGUUAUUUUAUAACCUCAAUUUGAAAAACAUUCUUAACCAAAUAUAUUAAACUACUUUUUGUUCAACCUCAAUUUUAACUAUAGUUUUAACCAAACAUAUAUAAAUACUAAACCAACCUCAACUAAAAGUGCCUGUUUGAGAUUGUGAUAAUGGUUGCGAUUCAAAGUAUUUUUUGCUUAAAAAUACAUCAAGAUGAUGUUUUUUCAUUUUUAAAAAAUUAUUUUUGAUGUUAGCGCAUCAAAACGAUCCAAAAACAAUAAAAAAAUAUUAAUUUUAAGUAAAGAAAUAAAUCUAAAUAUUUUUGAAAACUCGAACUGGACCGUGUUUCUAAAUAUAUUUUUUAUAAAAUAAUUUUUUUCAAAUCACAAUUAUAAAAACUAUCAAAAUAUAUAUAUUUUAAUAAUUAAUUAAUAGUAAUAAUUGUUGUCGCUCAAGCAACAUCAUGAACGGUGAGCCAUCAAGGAGAAGGUGGCCCUUACUUUAAAGACUCUAGAGCCCAGACAUGUAAAUUAAAGGAUAAACCUUGUUGCUACUUAAUUUUUUAUUUAUAUUUUUGAUAAAAUUUUUAAAAAUUAAAAAAAAAACAAAACAAUAAAAACCAUAAAAAAUAUAUUUUUAAUAUAUUUACAUUGUUUUUAGCAUUUUCAAUAUCAUCUUAAAAGAAUUUAAAUUUUUAAAGGUAUUUAAAAUGCAUUUAAUUUUUAACGCGUAAAUUUUAUGAUUAUUGAUUUUUUUUGUUGAGUUGAUGUUGAUAUUGCUCGCUUUUAAAAAUAUAAAAGAUAAAAAAAAAUCAAAAUUUUCAAAAAAAAAAUAAAAAAAAAGGUUGAGGGAAUAGUUUGAUUGUGGCCAAGCCACACUUCUUCUAUAAAUAUAGUCUACAGUAAAAAGAAUAGGAGGAGAAAAAUUUAGAGACAGGGGAGAAAAAUUGACUGAUAGGCGGAGAAAAUUUACAAGGGGGAAGACAAGAAAAAAAAAGAAAACCCUAAAACCUCUACUUUUCAAAGGGGAGCCGCCGCCCCCAUCUUCUUGGUUUUUUUUUUCUCCCGAAAACCGGUCGGCCACUCCUCUCUUUUGCCCAAACCUGAGAGAAACCCACCUUCCUGCUCCAUUUGCCCGACCAAGACUCCCCUUCUCAACUAUUCUUCCUCUGCUUUUCUUCCCCAAAACCGUUCCCCUGCUUUGUGAUUUUUGCUACCAAAGCCAGCCGGCCGCGCCCCUCCUCUGGCCGUCGUUCUCCCUCGCGGCCGAGAUAACACCGCCUCCCACCGACAGGAGACCAGCCCCACAGCCGUUCCUUUCUUCCUCAGACCGAACACGGCGGCAGCCCCCGCUGUCUUCUUCCCAGUCUUCUCUAGGCCCCACCGUGCAGCAGCGUCUCCUCCACCGCAGCUUCAGCGGCCACAGACCCACGGUCCUCACCGUCAGCCGCAGCGGCGCCAUACCUCUCUUGGCUUCGGCCCCUUCGCCAGACCUCACUCUUCCAGCCGGCAGCCAUCGAGGACGCCGCCUAACAGCCCGCAGGCCCUCGUCCUCGCAAAGACCCGAACCGGCCGCCAGCAGCUGCACAGACGCGACAUGAACCCAUUCGGGAGCAGUCCCUUGGUCGUGCCACCGGCCACCUAAAACAGAAGAAGAGGAAACAAAAAAGAUUUGCAGAGGGAGAAGCAGAUCCGAAAACAGUGAGCCCACGCGCCGCCAGUUACGGCCGCGCGUGGGGAGACGCGCCGCCACUGCUCCACAGUUCCUUGAGGGCCUCCUUUACUGUUCCUGGACUUUUUAGGGACCUAUUUUUUUUUUUUUUUUUGUAAUUUUUAGAUGUUUGAACAUGUAUUUAAUUUUAUGUUAAAUGUUUUUUUUAGCUUAUGUUAUUCUGCAAACAUGUAACAGAAUGAGUAUAGUAAAAAAGUAGUGUUAGUGUGAGU